UGCCAGACUCCUACGGGAGGCAGCAGUGAGGAAUAUUGGUCAAUGGGCGGAAGCCUGAACCAGCCAAGUCGCGUGAGGGAAGAAGGCCCUGCGGGUCGCAGACCUCUUUGGACGGGGAGCAAGGCCGCCGACGUGUCGGCGGAAGGAGAGUACCCGUAGAACAAGCAUCGGCUAACUCCGUGCCAGCAGCCGCGGUAAUACGGAGGAUGCGAGCGUUAUCCGGAUUUAUUGGGUUUAAAGGGUGCGUAGGGGGACGCUUAAGUCAGCGGUAAAAUGGCGGGGCCCAACCGCGUCGAGCCGUUGAAACUGGGUGCCUUGAGUGGGCGAGAAGAAGGCGGAAUGCGUGGUGUAGCGGUGAAAUGCAUAGAUAUCACGCAGAACCCCGAUUGCGAAGGCAGCCUUCCGGCGCCCUACUGACGCUGAGGCACGAAAGUGCGGGGAUCGAACAGGAUUAGAUACCCCUGUA
rnacentral:rRNA from 1 species